rnacentral:misc_RNA from 1 species
AUAGAAUAUACCAUUUAAAUAGAGCUGAAUAGCAUACAAAAAUAUAAUACAUAACUAAAAUAAUAUUAAGGUCUGUUUGGAUAGGAGUAUUUGGGGCCAAGUAAUUUAGAUUUGGAAUUUAAAAUGCAAAUUAAAUGUUUGGUAACAAUAAAUAGAUUUGGAUUUGGCUAAAAUUCACAUAUAGAUUUAAAGUUUAAGAAAGAUGAGUUUCAAAUGACAAGCUAAAGGAUGUCAUUUGAGGAUGCUACAGCAACAAGGGAGGCACUUCAAAUAGCCUUGGCCACAAGUUGAAUUUCGG